AACGCGAAGAACCUUACCAACCCUUGACAUGGGUAUCGCGGAUUCCAGAGAUGGUUUCCUUCAGUUCGGCUGGAUACCACACAGGUGCUGCAUGGCUGUCGUCAGCUCGUGUCGUGAGAUGUUCGGUUAAGUCCGGCAACGAGCGCAACCCACACCCUUAGUUGCCAGCAUUCAGUUGGGCACUCUAGGGGAACUGCCGAUGAUAAGUCGGAGGAGGGUGGGGAUGAGGUCAAGUCAUCAUGGCCCUUACGGCCAGGGCUACACACGUACUACAAUGGUCGGUACAGAGGGUUGCGAGACCGCGAGGUUUAGCCAAUCCCAGAAAACCGAUCCCAGUCCGGAUCGGAGUCUGCAACUCGACUCCGUGAAGUCGGAAUCGCUAGUAAUCGCAGAUCAGCUAUGCUGCGGUGAAUACGUUCCCGGGUCUUGUACACACCG
rnacentral:rRNA from 1 species